UGUUGGAAACACGUUCUCAAGGCAUUAUACUAAACGUGUGUUCAUAUUUGUAGGUUUUGAUGAAUGACAAACUGUGCGCAAAUUGACAUAUGACGAGGUCCAAGCACAAGCGCAAAAUUGAUAUAUAACGAGAUUCAAGCACAAGACAAAGAUCGAGAUUAAUUCUUAUAUGAGUCGGUAUUUAAUUGUGAUCUUGAUCCGACAACUUA
rnacentral:lncRNA from 1 species